CGCCGCCAACUUUCACCCCGGAGCCGCUCGUCACAAGGAGCCUGGGCAACCGCACAGGAAGCGACGGCCCCAACGUCACCCAGGGAGGAGGCCCUUCGCAGCAGGGACAGCCUGACAGGCAGGCACGGUCAAUGGAUCCCGUGGGGGAGAAGUAUGAAAAUGUGAAAAAUGAAGUAUCAUUGAAGUCCAUCUUUUUCAAGAAUUUUCAACUGCUAUCUGGAAUCAACAAAGUAUGCUGCAAAUGUCUACAGGAAAACUAUUUUGUUUUCCCUUCAAUUUAGUCUUUAAGAGUAUUCUUAACUUCAGAAAUGUAGCAUCUGUUCCACCAUACUGAGAGUGCAGAACAAGAAUUGAAUCUCCGCUGGAGGAUAGAGAUUUAGUGCACAUUUACUCAUUGGCUAUGAACAGAAUAUUAUUGAGGUGAUAUCUGUGCUUUCAACGAUCUCCAGUUCCUCAAGACAUUUAGAAGUCCCAAGUGAAAAGCAAGUAACCUGAGAUUGCAUUUCAAACAAAGGAGUAGUCCAUGCUCAUCACUCUGUACCAAAGGGCAGCCUGUUCUUGAUUUAAUUCUGUAACAAUGAAAAUGUGAUAUUCUUCAGUUCAAAACUGCAUCAAUUUUCUUUCUUCUUCUUUCUGUUCAAUAUACUUUUUGUUUUUUUUUCCUCUAGUACUAUAUUUCAACAUCUACAAUAAUUUUGUUUAAUAUCCAGCAAAAUAAAUUAAUAAUGAAAAUUCACAAGCUUGUGAAUACACAAUAAAAUCGCUAUUAAUAAAAAUUGGAUAACCUAAAGUGGCAGUCAAGUUGAAAUUGUGUCAAAAUUCUCUGAGCAGAAUAGGAAGUACAAUAGAAUGAUUCUUAUGGUAAAUCAAAGUUGCAGAAUGGUCACUCCAGAUUCACCGAAUCAGACCAAGAAGGUUACCUCAAGCAAUUGGAGCAGAGUUAGGUAUUGCUACAGUGCAAAGUCAUGGGUGAGCCAUCAGCUGACAAUGAGACCUCUCUGAAAUCCAAUGUGUAGGCUAAACCUGUGAGAAGGUUAUAAGUGCUGUCAAUUACAGACAAAGUGAAUUGAUACAGGGAAUGAAAAACUGGUGUGAAUUAAGAAGUGGACAUCACAAUGGAGUGGGAGGUGUUGCAAUCAAAUUUGCCAACCAUUCUGAAAAUCUUGGAACAGUCCAACAACUAACUGCAGGAAGUCCCUGUGUUAUAAACAUCCUGUACUUAUGAAGUGACCUCCUGCUUCUCAUUUUUAAAAAUCUGAGUUACGUACAAUGUUUUAUCCUAAUGAACGGGCAGACUAAUUAGCCCGUUUCUGUUCUGACUAACACACAAAUUUGGCUUACAAACAGCGGAGAAAUGGAACUCAUUCGUAGCCUGGGGACUUCCUGUAUAUUUUCCAGCAAAGAAGAGUAACUGCCUAUCCCAAUGUCAAAGAAACUCUACGUGGCAAAAGGCAUCGUGUACUGAAAACAUUUCCAUCUCCGGUCCAAUUUUUUAGGAAAGGAACCUAAAAACCAACUAUUGAUUCUCGAGACCAUUGAUAAAAAGCAGAAGCAGAAGAGGUCACGUAAACACAAUGAAGAUGGUUAUGAAAGCCACUAUCACCAACUGCUUCCAUCACGUUGGGUUCAUAUAGGCUACGUCCAUAAGAUGUCAAGAAUAUUGGAGAGCAAGAUGAGGCCAUCUUACCUCAUGACAACACUCUUUUUGCUUGCCUGUAGAAGGCUAUUAUGGAAAUUCCAGCAUAAACAACUACAGAAGCUUGCAACAAUUAGAUUACUUACAGUGUGGAAACAAGCCCUUCCGCCCAUCAAGUCAACACCGAUCCACCGAAGCGCAACCC